AUGGCUGGACUCGACCGAGGACCCAGGGGUCGCAUCCUGCUGUUCCCCCUGCCGUUCCAGGGCCACCUCAGCCCGAUGCUGCAGCUCGCCGACGUGCUCCACGGCCGCGGCCUCGCGGUCACCAUCCUCCACACCACGUUCAACGCCCCCGACCCAGCUAGUCACCCGGAGUUCGACUUCGUCGCCGUGGCCGAUGAAAUGCCGGACGAUGUGGCCGCGCCCAAGGACGGCCUGGGCAUGAUCGUCGCCAUGAACGCGGCUAUGGAGGUGUCGGGGUGCGUCCGCGACGCGCUCGCGUCGAUUCUCUCCGAGGAGCCCCGGCCGGCGUGCCUUGUCAUCGACACCUUCCUCCCCGCCGCGCAGAAGGCGGCGGUCGAGCUAGGCCUGCCGACGAUCGUGCUGCAAACCAGCAGCGCGGCAGCCGUCCGCUUGUUCAGGUCCAACGCCAUGCUCCACGAGAAGGGAUACUUGCCAGCGCAAGUAUUUCAUUUCAGAGCAUGA
rnacentral:rRNA from 1 species